CCCUUCCCAUCCCGAACAGGACCGUGAAACAACUCCACGCCGAUGAUAGUGCGGAUUGCCCGUGUGAAAGUAGGUAAUCGUCAGGC
rnacentral:rRNA from 1 species